rnacentral:rRNA from 1 species
CCUACGGGUGGCAGCAGUAGGGAAUAUUGGGCAAUGGCGGAAACGCUGACCCAGCCACGCCGCGUGCAGGAAGAAGGCGCUCUGCGUUGUAAACUGCUUUUAUCCGGGAAGAAUAACCGUUACGCGUAACGGGAAUGACGGUACCGGAGGAAUAAGCACCGGCUAACUCCGUGCCAGCAGCCGCGGUAAUACGGAGGGUGCGAGCGUUGUCCGGAUUUAUUGGGUUUAAAGGGUGCGUAGGCGGCCAGAUAAGUCCGGGGUGAAAGACCAUGGCU